rnacentral:lncRNA from 1 species
CGGGACAAUGGCACACUCUGGCUAUCAAAUAAUGUCGUCAAUACUAUUCUAUUUUAUUAUUAGUGCUUUCAACAAAUUGGCCAAAAAAUACUUUUGACAGUCAUCUGGUAUUCAACACACACUUCUAACCUGGUGCCCAUGGAAUUGCAGAGUGUGUCAGUGGUAGAGCGAACAGACGGAGCUGGGGAGGGAUAUGUGGAGGGAGCCAAAUGCAAGUCCUCUCACAUUUCAUCCUGGCUGCUGACUAACAUCCGAGUAUGGGAGGGAAUUUCUGCUGAGGUCCUGCUUUCUUUUUCCACCCUUAGCUCCGCCAUGACCCUGGGAGUACAGCACCCUGACCAGGAGCUCUCCCAACUCUCCUUCGAGGAUUCCAGGCUCCAGCUCUAAGGUACUAUAUGCUCUUUUAUGUGGAUCAUCUCGUUUCAUCCUCACAGCAGCCUUAUUAGGAAUCUUCUGACAUUAGGGCAGAUUACUCAUGAUGGAAAAUGCAAAUGCCAGGCUCUGGGGAGGCCCGUCGUAAAGGAACCUGAACCUGCAAAAAAUAUGGCGACUGAAACCAGAACCGUCAGUAUGCUCUGCUAUGCUGUGGUUCUCAAAGGCUCUUAUGUAAAAGCGAUUUCAGCAAAGCUGCUCUGGUGGAAGAGGGAGAGGAUGCCCGCCCUGCUUUUCCUUAAAGUGCCUGCCCCCCUCCUUGUGGGUACGGGGAACUGGGAGACCUGA